rnacentral:rRNA from 1 species
GCGAGCAACGUGUCAGGAGCCGGGGUAAUAGGUGGGUGGCAAGGGUUAUGCGGAAGUAUUGGGCGUAAAGCGGGGGUAGGCGUGUUUUUAAGUCUGAUGUGAAAGCCCACGGCUCAACCGUGGAGGGUCAUUGGAAACUGGAAAACUUGAGUGCAGAAGAGGAAAGUGGAAUUCCAUGUGUAGCGGUGAAAUGCGCAGAGAUAUGGAGGAACACCAGUGGCGAAGGCGACUUUCUGGUCUGUAACUGACGCUGAUGUGCGAAAGCGUGGGGAUCAAACAGGAUUAGAUACCCGAGUAGUC